GAAAUGCGAUACGUAGUGUGAAUUGCAGAAUUCCGUGAAUCAUCGAAUCUUUGAACGCAAAUUGUACUUUCCAGUAAUCUGGGAAGUAUGCUUGGUUGAGGGUCAUCAAAAUAACAUUCGUGAAUUUUUUCGCGGAUUUGAGUUUUCCAGUAUUCAUUAUAAUAAAUAUGAUAAAUGUUGGUGACUUUAAAAUCAUUCAUAACUUGGUACAAGUUGAAAACGUGCUAUAUGUGUGGUUCGCUGACAACUUGUCCAUCUCUAUAUACUAUGCGCGCACUUGGUUUUUACACUCUGUGCGAACAUAUAUUUUUUUUUUGACCUCAGCUCAAGCAAGAAUACCCGCUGAACUUAA
rnacentral:misc_RNA from 1 species